rnacentral:snRNA from 1 species
GUGCUCACUUUGGCAACACAUAUACUAAAAUUGGAAUGCUAUAGAGAUUAGCAUGGCCCCUGUGCAAGGACGACAUACAAAUUUGUGAAGCAUUCCAUAUUUUA